UGACCUGCCAAAUUCACGGGCACAGGAAGCAGAAGGAAUAAGAGCACGCCCAGACCAGCAGCAGCCAGUGAGCAGGGGCAGAUUUGCAUGAAGGGGCUGUUCUCAGCUCUGGGCAUUUAAGAGAGACUUGGAUGAUCCCAGUUACAGCCUGUUCACUUCAGGAAGCCGAGCUGGCCUGGAUUCCCACCAUGGCCUGUGCCCUUCUCCUUCUUGUUCUGCUCGCAUACAGCUCAGAGGUCCGGUCACAGCCUGUGGUGACUCAGGAGCCUUCAGUGUCUUCGGUGUCCCCAGGAGGGACUGUCACUCUGUCCUGCAGCCUGAGCACCGGAGCCAUCACCACCAGCAACUAUCCCUCCUGGUACCAGCAGAAACCUGGCUCUGCCCCUCAGCUGCUUAUUCAUGAAACUAAUAAGAGACCCUCUGGGAUCCCCACCCGGUUCUCCGGGUCCAUCUCUGGUCAGAAGGCCGCCUUAACCAUCACCGGGGCCCAAGCUGAGGACGAGGCCGACUACUACUGUAUGGUGUAUACUGGCAGCAGCAGUGCGUUACGACACUGUGUUUCAUCUUGAUGAGGAACUGAGACACAAACCUCCCUCUUCUCUUGUCUCUUCAUGGGCUGUUCAGGCUUUGCCUGCUCGGGCUGCAGACUUUGGCCUUGGCCAGGAACAGGUCUAACUGCUUUGGUUUGUUUCUUUCAGAAGCCCAGCCCUUGUGUCCAGCGGGGACGGCCCUUUCCUGCUCCCACCUGCCUGAAAUCAGGAAGCUUCUUUUCCAGGUUCACCAUUGCUGCAAACUUUCUUCGGGUCACCUUAGCCAACCCACUCUGUGUUUUUUCCCCCUUGAUGGCAUAGUUUCAUGGUCUCCAUGCUACCAAACCCUAAUAUCGAAGUAUUGCACACUGAGACCCAAUAUGAGGUGAAGCCUAUGGUGUAUUAGUUAUACGCCCUUACACCUACAUGGAAACAUGGAGACAUACAACGAGAUAAGUGUUACAUGUGUGAGUGCCCUGGAUCCAUCUCACAUUUGUCCAAGGCAGCAUCAUGGCAUCAAUGUAUUCCGUGUCUACUGGCCAGGCAACUUCAUGUCUUGGCCUCUUCCCUUCCCCACCCAGCUGAAUGGGAAAUGGCUCUAGCUGCUGCUUCAUUGUCAAGUUCCUAAAUCAAAU